GCAAGUCGAGCGGGAACAGAGAUAGCUUGCUAUCUGCUGACGAGCGGCGGACGGGUGAGUAAUGCUUGGGAAUAUGCCUUUAGGUGGGGGACAACAGUUGGAAACGACUGCUAAUACCGCAUGAUGUCUACGGAGCAAAGUGGGGGACCUUCGGGCGUCACGCCUAUAGAUGAGCCCAAGGGGGGUUAGCUAGUUGGUUGAGGUAAAGGCUCACCAAGGCAACGAUCCCUAGCUGGUUUGAGAGGAUGAUC
rnacentral:rRNA from 1 species